AGUUCAACCCCCACUAGGUCCUCCCCUGCCAUCACAUUCCAGGACCUGAACCCUCCCCCCCACCCCAGAUUCUUUACUUUGGAGCCAUACACCGACUCCAGUCCAUGUUCUGCUUAGCGGUUUCCCUUCUGAUCUUGGUUUUCAACUUCUGCCUAUAAGUGAGUUCAUCCUGUAUUCAUCCUUUUGUUUCUGACUUAUCAGCAAUGAGUAUUUUUAAGUGCAGAGGAAAAGCCAAGAGGCUGUCGAGUGGAGCUGUGUUUUAAGGACCGAGUCUGUCUCUCCCCAACCAGAGGCCACAAACAAAUGACUGUUUGAACAUACAUCUUCAAACGUAAGAUAUUAUUUAAACUGCUACAAAGAGAUCACAUGUUUCCGGAACUCUCCCCCUUGCAGACACCAAUGCUCAGUCUGGGAGCAGCUCUGGCUAGUCAAAUGAAAGCAAGGCCUUCCAACGACACCUCAGAAAUGCUUGGGCCAUUUCAGAGUCUGGAUUCUUUGUUUAUCGGGAUAUUGGGACUUCCUCCGACUAGACUCCAGAAAAUAAAUUCUGGAUUAAGAGGUUCAAGGUCAACGUUAGCCUGGAAACCUUACCCUGGCUCAAGAUUUGCUUAAUCAGCUGUAAUUUCCCCACGGCACAGAUUCAAUCUGCUGAGCAAAUAAAACCCAUUUCGGCAGUGA